GUCAAGUUUUAGCUGAAAGCCAUUUUCAUGUAAUUGACACAUGUUUGCAAAAUUUAUAAAAAAAAAUGUUUAAAAAAAAAUAGUGGUUCAAUCCUCAUGAUAGUGCUCUGUUUGUGUUUAAGAUUGGUUGUGUUUAAAAUCACGAAAAGCAAUUGUUUAAGGUCUUGUUUAGCCCUUAUAUUGAAUUGUAAGGUUUUAUAGAAAGAAGUUUUGUAUAAGUACGAUAAAAAUGACAUUUAAAUAAUCUGUGCAACGUUGAACACCGCCCAAGCUGUUCUAUAUACAUAAACUGACAAGAACAGCAAUUUGAAGACUGCUCUUAAGUGGCAAUAAACGUUCACCUGGUUGUUUACGAAGGAGCUCAUUCAAUCGAUCAUGCGGCUGCGGUGUCGGCGGCGGCGGUGGUGGCGGCGGCUGCAGCUUGAUGCGAAGGCGGGCGGCCUCCUCGAUGCCGGUGUCUGUCUUCUUGGAGAUGAUCACGUGACCGAACGCCUCCUCUGGGUCGUAGAUGCCUUCGUGGAGGAGCACCCGGUACGCCUGGAAGCUCGGGCGGCACUGAAGGAACUGCAACUUUCGCUCGGUCGCUUCCGAUGCAUCUUCAAGUGCAGAGUUCCCCUGAGCAGAUUCAAAGAUUCUGAGACUCGUGUAUGCUGACAUUUCUAACGAAAAGUUACUAGCAUACAUAUUAUUUUUGCGCGAAAUGUAAAAUUAACUUCAGUGCUAAGGUCUUUUAAUAUCGAUGCAUAAUUUUAGUAUAGUAUGCGCGAAAUCUGGUCAAGAACUAACAUGUUCGCAUUAAAAACAAAAGGAG